rnacentral:piRNA from 2 species
UGUUCUUCCUAUCACACAGAAGGAGCA